rnacentral:rRNA from 1 species
GUCUACCGCCAAGCUACCCUGAACAAGCCUAAUCCUGUCUGACCUUGGAAGUUAAGCAGGGUCGGGCCUGGUUAGUACUUGGAUGGGAGGACCACCUAGGAAGACCAGGUGCUGUAGGUG